AUGGUGAGAUCUUACGUACUACAUCAUGUUGAUUUUGUCUUCUUGUUCAUGGCUAGGAUUUGCAGUGUAAUUUGGUGGUUAUUCUUUUGCUGGGACUCUCCUGCAAAGACUCUGCUCAGAUGCAUAGUCAGGCAACUCACCGGAGAGAGCUGGGAUGGAGGCGACUCUGAGGAAGAUGAAGGCCAAGAGCGGUGCCGCUGCCGGGGAGAGGAGGCCGGUGCUGUCGAGGACAAUACUGCUCCUCUGCGCCUGCAGCUUCAUCCUUGGCGUGCUCUUCACCGACCGGGUUCAGAGCGAUGCCGGAUUUAA
rnacentral:rRNA from 1 species